ensembl:processed_transcript
CAGUUGUUUGUCCGUAUUUUUCUAAACUGCCGUGCGCGGGAAGUGAUGUGACGUCCCAAUCACCCACUCACUCCCUCUGCACCUGCGUGAGUCUGACUGGAUUAAGUUAACGGUAAAACGUCAGCUUGUCUGUGAGAGUGUAAAAGGUUCUUUCAUUUUGGUUAUAAGUACAUGGUACAGGUGUGUUGGUGUAAAAAUUAAUGCUGACUGAACUCAGGCAGUUGUGCUGGACCUUCUGUACCUUAUACAGGAGAUGACGGUAAACUUUGAAGUUUAAGAGGUGUGUUGGUGUAGAAAUUGAUGCUGACUGAACUCAGGCAGUUGUGCUGGACCAUCUGUACUUCAUACAGGGGAUGACAGUAAACUUACAAGUUUAAGAGGU